AUGGCCGCGUCAUCUCUCCGCGGCGGCGGCGCCGCCGGCGCCGUAAUCCGUGGCCGCGGCCACGUCAGCCUCUCCCUGCUGGCGGACCGCUGCUCCACCCUCCGCGGCCUGACCGUCGUCCACGCGGCCAUGCUCGUCUCCGGCCGCAUCGCCAACGACGCCUUCGCGGCUUCCCGCCUCCUGGACGCCUACGCCUCGCUCUCCCCUCCGGCCACCGUGCUCCGCCUCCUCUCCUCCCUCCCUUACGCCCCCAACUCAUUCAUGCUCAACACCUCCCUCCGCGCCCUCGCCUCCUCCCCCGACCCCGCCUCCGUCCUCGCCUUCUUCUCCCACCUCCGCCACUCCGCCGGCUCCUCCUACUCCCCCGGCAGGCACACCUUCCCCUUCCUCCUCAAGGCCUCCGCUCGCCUCGCUCUUCCUGUCUCCACGCAGAUCCACGCGCUCGUCGUCAAGCACGGGCUCGAUCGUGACACCUACGUUGCCAACGGCCUUGUCCGCGCCUACUCGGUGGCUGGACUCAUUGGUGUCGCGCGGAAGGUGUUUGAUGAAUUGCCCGAGCGAAGCGUGGUGGUGUAUACCACCAUGGUCUCUGGCUAUGCGCAGAAUGGGCGGUACCAGGACGCCAUGGGAGCCUUUGAUGAGAUGCUCAAUGAGGGGUUCGAGCCUGGUGCAGUGGUGCUUGCAUCGGUGCUGUCGGCCUGCGCACGGUCAGAGUCUGGUGGGCUCGUGAUGGGGCGGCGUGUGCAUGAUAUCAUGGAGAGGAGGGGGAUGGCGGCCCCUGCGGGGGUGAUCCUUGGCACAGCAUUAGUCGACAUGUAUGGAAAGAAUGGGGCGAUCGAGGAGGCUGUAACGGUGUUUAAGGGGAUGCCGGAGCGGCAUACAGCUACGUGGAACGCCCUGAUCUCAGUGUUGGCGCACCAUGGGCAUGGCAAGGAUGCGCUGGCGAUGUUCGAGCAGAUGCGCCGGGAGGGUGUGCCGCCGAAUGCAACCACACUUGUCGGGGUUCUGUCAGCAUACUGCCACACAGGGCUGCUCGACGAGGCCCGCAGAGUGUUCGCAUCUAUGGAGGACUUUGGGGUGACUCCGAGCAUCCAACACUAUGGGUGCAUGGUUGACCUCCUCGGCCGAAGUGGACUUCUAUUGGAGGCCGAAGAGAUGAUACGUGGGAUGACAUGCAAGGCUGAUACUAUGAUCUGGGGGGCUUUGCUUACAGCCUGCAAGAGCCACGGCGACAUUGAUAUCGCGGAACGGGCUGUGCAAGAGAUGCUGAAACUGGACCCCAACAACCAUGGCGUGUAUGUGGUGCUGUCCAACAUAUAUGCAGAUGCUGGGAGGUGGCAGGACGUGGAUAAACUUAGGAAAGUGAUGAAGGAUGCACGGUUGUCAAAGAUACCCGGAUCGAGCGCUGUUGCUGGCUGCAGUGCCGGCUGA
rnacentral:rRNA from 1 species